UCUGGAGGAAGGAUGAUCGCCGUCCAUAGCUUUAUGCGAAGGAUGGAGGAAAGUCCAGGCAGCCGAAAGCAGGGUGUCCCGCGCAAGCGGGAACGCGCAAGCGCUAGUCCAGAGCCACAGAAACGAUGUCGGUCCUGAGACGUAAAUGUCGAAGGAUACGAGUGAAAAGGGGCAAUCCUCCCCGCUGCAACCUCCGAAAGCCCCGUCCCUUAAAGGACGAAAAAAGCUUUCAAAAAAUCUUGGACAACCAAGAGACGGGGCAAAGUUUGAGGGCUUAGACAGAUGAUCGUCUAAAAACAGAACCUGGCUUACUAGCCUCCAGAAUAU
rfam:Microgenomates (Woesebacteria) bacterium GW2011_GWA2_44_33 TW60_C0012, whole genome shotgun sequence.